UGUGAGCUCGAUGAGUAGGGCGGGACACGUGGUAUCCUGUCUGAAUAUGGGGGGACCAUCCUCCAAGGCUAAAUACUCCUGACUGACCGAUAGUGAACCAGUACCGUGAGGGAAAGGCGAAAAGAACCCCGGCGAGGGGAGUGAAAAAGAACCUGAAACCGUGUACGUACAAGCAGUGGGAGCACGCUUAGGCGUGUGACUGCGUACCUUUUGUAUAAUGGGUCAGCGACUUAUAUUCUGUAGCAAGGUUAACCGAAUAGGGGAGCCGAAGGGAAACCGAGUCUUAACUGGGCGUUAAGUUGCAGGGUAUAGACCCGAAACCCGGUGAUCUAGCCAUGGGCAGGUUGAAGGUUGGGUAACACUAACUGGAGGACCGAACCGACUAAUGUUGAAAAAUUAGCGGAUGACUUGUGGCUGGGGGUGAAAGGCCAAUCAAACCGGGAGAUAGCUGGUUCUCCCCGAAAGCUAUUUAGGUAGCGCCUCGUGAAUUCAUCUCCGGGGGUAGAGCACUGUUUCGGCAAGGGGGUCAUCCCGACUUACCAACCCGAUGCAAACUGCGAAUACCGGAGAAUGUUAUCACGGGAGACACACGGCGGGUGCUAACGUCCGUCGUGAAGAGGGAAACAACCCAGACCGCCAGCUAAGGUCCCAAAGUCAUGGUUAAGUGGGAAACGAUGUGGGAAGGCCCAGACAGCCAGGAUGUUGGCUUAGAAGCAGCCAUCAUUUAAAGAAAGCGUAAUAGCUCACUGGUCGAGUCGGCCUGCGCGGAAGAUGUAACGGGGCUAAACCAUGCACCGAAGCUGCGGCAGCGACGCUUAUGCGUUGUUGGGUAGGGGAGCGUUCUGUAAGCCUGUGAAGGUGUGCUGUGAGGCAUGCUGGAGGUAUCAGAAGUGCGAAUGCUGACAUAAGUAACGAUAAAGCGGGUGAAAAGCCCGCUCGCCGGAAGACCAAGGGUUCCUGUCCAACGUUAAUCGGGGCAGGGUGAGUCGACCCCUAAGGCGAGGCCGAAAGGCGUAGUCGAUGGGAAACAGGUUAAUAUUCCUGUACUUGGUGUUACUGCGAAGGGGGGACGGAGAAGGCUAUGUUGGCCGGGCGACGGUUGUCCCGGUUUAAGCGUGUAGGCUGGUUUUCCAGGCAAAUCCGGAAAAUCAAGGCUGAGGCGUGAUGACGAGGCACUACGGUGCUGAAGCAACAAAUGCCCUGCUUCCAGGAAAAGCCUCUAAGCAUCAGGUAACAUCAAAUCGUACCCCAAACCGACACAGGUGGUCAGGUAGAGAAUACCAAGGCGCUUGAGAGAACUCGGGUGAAGGAACUAGGCAAAAUGGUGCCGUAACUUCGGGAGAAGGCACGCUGAUAUGUAGGUGAAGUCCCUUGCGGAUGGAGCUGAAAUCAGUCGAAGAUACCAGCUGGCUGCAACUGUUUAUUAAAAACACAGCACUGUGCAAACACGAAAGUGGACGUAUACGGUGUGACGCCUGCCCGGUGCCGGAAGGUUAAUUGAUGGGGUCAGCGCAAGCGAAGCUCUUGAUCGAAGCCCCGGUAAACGGCGGCCGUAACUAUAACGGUCCUAAGGUAGCGAAAUUCCUUGUCGGGUAAGUUCCGACCUGCACGAAUGGCGUAAUGAUGGCCAGGCUGUCUCCACCCGAGACUCAGUGAAAUUGAACUCGCUGUGAAGAUGCAGUGUACCCGCGGCAAGACGGAAAGACCCCGUGAACCUUUACUAUAGCUUGACACUGAACAUUGAGCCUUGAUGUGUAGGAUAGGUGGGAGGCUUGGAAGUGUGGACGCCAGUCUGCAUGGAGCCGACCUUGAAAUACCACCCUUUAAUGUUUGAUGUUCUAACGUUGACCCGUAAUCCGGGUUGCGGACAGUGUCUGGUGGGUAGUUUGACUGGGGCGGUCUCCUCCUAAAGAGUAACGGAGGAGCACGAAGGUUGGCUAAUCCUGGUCGGACAUCAGGAGGUUAGUGCAAUGGCAUAAGCCAGCUUGACUGCGAGCGUGACGGCGCGAGCAGGUGCGAAAGCAGGUCAUAGUGAUCCGGUGGUUCUGAAUGGAAGGGCCAUCGCUCAACGGAUAAAAGGUACUCCGGGGAUAACAGGCUGAUACCGCCCAAGAGUUCAUAUCGACGGCGGUGUUUGGCACCUCGAUGUCGGCUCAUCACAUCCUGGGGCUGAAGUAGGUCCCAAGGGUAUGGCUGUUCGCCAUUUAAAGUGGUACGCGAGCUGGGUUUAGAACGUCGUGAGACAGUUCGGUCCCUAUCUGCCGUGGGCGCUGGAGAACUGAGGGGGGCUGCUCCUAGUACGAGAGGACCGGAGUGGACGCAUCACUGGUGUUCGGGUUGUCAUGCCAAUGGCACUGCCCGGUAGCUAAAUGCGGAAGAGAUAAGUGCUGAAAGCAUCUAAGCACGAAACUUGCCCCGAGAUGAGUUCUCCCUGACUCCUUGAGAGUCCUGAAGGAACGUUGAAGACGACGACGUUGAUAGGCCGGGUGUGUAAGCGCAGCGAUGCGUUGAGCUAACCGGUACUAAUGAACCGUGAGGCUUAACCUU
rnacentral:rRNA from 1 species